UGAGGAAUAUUGGUCAAUGGACGCAAGUCUGAACCAGCCAAGUAGCGUGCAGGAUGACGGCCCUAUGGGUUGUAAACUGCUUUUAUGCGGGGAUAAAGUGUGCCAUGUAUGGCAUUUUGUAGGUACCGCAUGAAUAAGGACCGGCUAAUUCCGUGCCAGCAGCCGCGGUAAUACGGAAGGUCCGGGCGUUAUCCGGAUUUAUUGGGUUUAAAGGGUGCGUAGGCUGUAAGUCAAGUCAGCGGUGAAAAGUCGGGGCUAAACCUUGAGGGUGCCGUUGAAACUGAUUUACUAGAAUGUGGAUGAUGCCGGCGGAAUGUGUCAAGUAGCGGUGAAAUGCAUAGAUAUGACACAGAAGGCCGAUUGCGAAGGCAGCUGGCAAAGGCACGAUUGACGCUGAGGCACGAAAGUGCGGGGAUCGAACAGGAUUAGAUACCCUGGUAGU
rnacentral:rRNA from 1 species